rnacentral:rRNA from 1 species
UACGAAGGGGCUAGCGUUGCUCGGAAUCACUGGGCGUAAAGCGCACGUAGGCGGAUUGCUAAGUCAGGGGUGAAAUCCUGGAGCUCAACUCCAGAACUGCCUUUGAUACUGGCGAUCUGAGUCCGGGAGAGGUGAGUGGAACUGCGAGUGUAGAGGUGAAAUUCGUAGAUAUUCGCAAGAACACCAGUGGCGAAGGCGGCUCACUGGCCCGGUACUGACGCUGAGGUGCGAAAGCGUGGGGAGCAA